rnacentral:rRNA from 1 species
UGGGGAAUAUUGGACAAUGGAGGGAACUCUGAUCCAGCAAUUCUGUGUGUGUGAAGAAGGUUUUAGGACUGUAAAACACUUUUAGUAGGGAAGAAAAAAAUGACGGUACCUACAGAAGAAGCAACGGCUAAAUACGUGCCAGCAGCCGCGGUAAUACGUAUGUUGCGAGCGUUAUCCGGAAUUAUUGGGCUUAAAGGGCAUCUAGGCGGUAAGACAAGUUGAAGGUGAAAACCUGUGGCUCAACCAUAGGCUUGCCUACAAAACUGUUGAACUAGAGUACUGGAAAGGUGGGUGGAACUACACGAGUAGAGGUGAAAUUCGUAGAUAUGUGUAGGAAUGCCGAUGAUGAAGAUAACUCACUGGACAGAAACUAACGCUGAAGUGCGAAAGCUAGGGGAGCAAACAGG